rnacentral:rRNA from 1 species
UAUAGAUGGAUCCGCGCUGCAUUAGCUAGUUGGUAAGGUAACGGCUUACCAAGGCAACGAUGCAUAGCCGACCUGAGAGGGUGAUCGGCCACACUGGAACUGAGACACGGUCCAGACUCCUACGGGAGGCAGCAGUAGGGAAUCUUCCGCAAUGGGCGAAAGCCUGACGGAGCAACGCCGCGUGAGUGAUGAAGGUCUUCGGAUCGUAAAACUCUGUUAUUAGGGAAGAACAUAUGUGUAAGUAACUGUGCACAUCUUGACGGUACCUAAUCAGAAAGCCACGGCUAACUACGUGCCAGCAGCCGCGGUAAUACGUAGGUGGCAAGCGUUAUCCGGAAUUAUUGGGCGUAAAGCGCGCGUAGGCGGUUUUUUAAGUCUGAUGUGAAAGCCCACGGCUCAACCGUGGAGGGUCAUUGGAAACUGGAAAACUUGAGUGCAGAAGAGGAAAGUGGAAUUCCAUGUGUAGCGGUGAAAUGCGCAGAGAUAUGGAGGAACACCAGUGGCGAAGGCGACUUUCUGGUCUGUAACUGACG